UACGGGGGGGGCAAGCGUUGUUCGAAAUUACUGGGCGUAAAGGGUUCGUAGGUGGCUUGUUAAGUCAGACGUGAAAUCCCUCGGCUCAACCGGGGAACUGCGUCUGAGACUGAUGAGCUCGAGUGCAGGAGAGGAACGCGGAAUUCCAGGUGUAGCGGUGAAAUGCGUAGAUAUCUGGAGGAACACCGGUGGCGAAGGCGGCGUUCUGGACUGCAACUGACACUGAGGAACGAAAGCCAGGGGAGCAAACGGG
rnacentral:rRNA from 1 species